UGGCGGCGUGCCUAAUACAUGCAAGUCGAGCGAAUCUGAGGGAGCUUGCUCCCAAAGAUUAGCGGCGGACGGGUGAGUAACACGUGGGCAACCUGCCUGUAAGACUGGGAUAACUUCGGGAAACCGGAGCUAAUACCGGAUAAUCCUUUUCUACUCAUGUAGAAAAGCUGAAAGAUGGCUUCGGCUAUCACUUACAGAUGGGCCCGCGGCGCAUUAGCUAGUUGGUGAGGUAACGGCUCACCAAGGCGACGAUGCGUAGCCGACCUGAGAGGGUGAUCGGCCACACUGGGACUGAGACACGGCCCAGACUCCUACGGGAGGCAGCAGUAGGGAAUCUUCCGCAAUGGACGAAAGUCUGACGGAGCAACGCCGCGUGAGUGAUGAAGGUUUUCGGAUCGUAAAACUCUGUUGUUAGGGAAGAACAAGUACCGUUCGAAUAGGGCGGUACCUUGACGGUACCUAACCAGAAAGCCACGGCUAACUACGUGCCAGCAGCCGCGGUAAUACGUAGGUGGCAAGCGUUGUCCGGAAUUAUUGGGCGUAAAGCGCGCGCAGGUGGUUUCUUAAGUCUGAUGUGAAAGCCCCCGGCUCAACCGGGGAGGGUCAUUGGAAACUGGGAGACUUGAGUGCAGAAGAGGAAAGUGGAAUUCCAAGUGUAGCGGUGAAAUGCGUAGAGAUUUGGAGGAACACCAGUGGCGAAGGCGACUUUCUGGUCUGUAACUGACACUGAGGCGCGAAAGCGUGGGGAGCGAACAGGAUUAGAUACCCUGGUAGUCCACGCCGUAAACGAUGAGUGCUAAGUGUUAGAGGGUUUCCGCCCUUUAGUGCUGCAGCAAACGCAUUAAGCACUCCGCCUGGGGAGUACGGCCGCAAGGCUGAAACUCAAAGGAAUUGACGGGGGCCCGCACAAGCGGUGGAGCAUGUGGUUUA
rnacentral:rRNA from 1 species